AAUAUAUUAAUUUCUAUAUUUCAAAUUGUAAAUGCAUUAUUGUGAAAACGAUAUAAAUGAUAUAAUGGCGUAGGUAUGAAGCAGCAGGAUGUAGCUUCUUCAGUGUCACAACCAUUGCAAAAACAUGGAAGAAGAAGAAGCCACUUCACAUGAUGAGAGUAACGAGGAGACAACAGUAUGUGCUGGAUGCAUGAACGUCAUCGACGAAGACGAGUUCUUCUCAGCACUCGGGCAAGAUUGGCAUACUGAUUGUUUUAGAUGUAGUGCUUGUGAUGUAACUCUCAGCAGCUGGUACUUUGAGAAGGAUGGUUUACUUUUUUGUAAAAAUGAUUAUUGGAAGAAGUAUGGGGAAGCCUGUCAAGAUUGUGGUCAGAUCAUCACUGGUCCAGUCAUGGUUGCAGGCGAUCACAAAUUUCAUCCAGAAUGCUUCAUAUGUACCUCAUGCUCAGUAUUUAUUGGUGAUGGGGAGUCAUAUGCUCUUGUUGAGAGAUCUAAAUUAUACUGUGGAUUGUGUUACAAGAGGCAGAUGCAGCCUUUGAACAAGUCUACAUCGUUCACAAAGAUACCUCACAGUAUACAACUUAUUGAGUUACCAGCAAAGUCGGAUAAUCAGAGAAGAAUCAAGCUUAGCGUUGACUCGAGAAAGGGCUUCCCUCUGGCAGGACUCAGUAAUUAUAGAGGCCUACGUAUUGCAGAUGUUCCAUCCCUCAAAGAAAGAUUACAACAACUGGACUCAGCAGCAGACUUGAUGUCUCUGCACGUUGGAGAUCGAAUACUUGAAGUGAAUGGGAGACCUGUUGAGGAUCAUUGUAUUGGUGACAUUGAAAAUCUUAUUACUUCCUCUCAGGAUGUGUUGCAGUUAACCAUUGAACAUGAUCCUGAGCAAGUAUCUACCAGACGACAGAGCUUUCCCUUUGUCUCACCUUGUCGUAAUAUAUCUCCGGUUCAUGACCCGCAGCAAAAAGAAGGUUUGAGAGAGCGUCUUUUUAAGCGAAGAGAUGAAGGUUAUGUAUCUGGUACACAACGCAGUCGUCAGCUAAGACGAGGACGAGGGUGUAAAGAGAGAGCAUCCUCACUUCCUAAGCUAUUAGACAAUGACUAUUCUCGGGAAUCUGGCUACUAUGACCUGAGCCGAACUAAGUCAUUCCGUGUAGAGCCAAAGAAUCAUCGAAUCUUCCGUGCAUCUGAUCUCACUCAGGGAGAACUUCUUGGCAAAGGUUUCUUUGGACAGGUUUACAAAAUGACACACUCAGAAACAGGGGAGGUUAUGGUGUUGAAGGAGCUGUACAGAGUAGAUGAACAAGCCCAGAAAAAUUUUCUUAAGGAGGUUGCAGUCCUAAGAAGUUUAAGUCACAAGAAUGUCUUGAGAUUUAUAGGGGUAUUAUACAAGGACCGUAAACUUCACCUGCUCACUGAAUAUAUUAGUGGAGGAACGUUAAAGGAAAUUAUCCAUAACCUAGAAGAGACUUUACCUUGGGAUCAACGAAUUAGUUUUGCUAAAGACAUAGCCUCAGGCAUGGCAUACCUACAUAAUUGUGAUAUUAUUCAUAGAGAUCUUAACUCCAACAACUGCCUAGUCAGAGAAGAUAAAAGGGUUGUUGUUGCAGACUUUGGUUUGGCAAGAAUUAUGCCACAAAACAAUUGGACAGCUGAAAGGAAAAAAUUUGGAAAAAAAUAUGCAAGAAAAAAGAGAUACACUGUUGUGGGCAACCCCUAUUGGAUGGCACCAGAGAUGAUGAAAGGAAACAAAUAUGACGAGAAGGUGGAUAUCUUCAGUUUUGGUAUCAUUUUAUGUGAGAUUAUUGGGCGAGUUGAAGCAGAUCCUGAUUACAUGCCACGCUCCAUGGAUUUUGGUCUUAAUGAAACAGUCUUUCAUGCUAAAUAUUGCCAAGAUUGUCCUGAACCGUUCUACAAGAUUGCUUUCAUGUGUUGCAAUACCAAUCCAGAUGCCAGACCAGCAUUUGAGAUACUGGAAGUUUGGUUAGAGGGAUUAGCAAUGCAUUUUGCUGUUGGUGUUCCUCUUCCUGCCAAUCUUCUGGCUGACAUAUAUACAUUUAAUGGCCGAAGUAAUAGCAGUUCUUCCGAAGCAUCUACACCCGAAGCUCCAACAUCAGAUUCAAGACACCCUCCACCUCUCUUACGCACUAUAAGUGAAGGGACUUAUUCCACCACUAAUAGUCUAAACCGUGAUUGUUCAUCAUCAUGUGCCAGGAGAGAUCAUAGUAGUUUUGAUACUCAAGAUAUGCUUCUUAAUGAUGCAAGUUGGAAGCUAAGGGAAAGCUUAGAUUUAGGAAAACUAGAUAUUUUGAAGCCAAGUUGGAGUCCUGGUGAAAACCUGGAUGAAACAGAUUCUGUUACAAAAAAUUCUAGUGCAAAGACUGAAGGAAAUUUAGAUAAAGAUUCCAUUCCAGAUACACUGUCGUCUCUCUCUCGGCCACAGGCCAGCAGCUUGGUGGGGGAUGUAGAGUGUACACCACUAUGAUUUUUUUCAUUUUUUUUUAAGAGAUUUGUUAUGUUUGCAAUAAUGUACAGGAAAAUUUGUUGCAAAAAAGUUAAUAAUUUUUUCUAUGGAAUUACAUUGGAAGUAUUUAACAAAAAAUUGGUACAAAGUUGACUUAUAGCAUUCCCAUGAUAGUGAUGUUAGUGGAGUAGAAUUGUAAUCCAUAAGUGGUUAUAAUAAUAAUUAUUUAUCACUGAUGCUGUUUCCCUGUUUGUUGAAAACCCCACAGCAGAUGCUCAUCCUUGGACAGGUGAUGCCUCAUAUGGAAGACCCUCAAGUAUAGAACCCAUGAGGAAGGUAUACCAAGAGAUAUCUGCCUCUCACUUGUUAAACUGCAAGUCAUAUUGAGCAUCCUAGCAGCAGUUACCUCAAUCCAGAACUACCUCUUGUUCAGUAAGUAGUAAGACAUUUGCAUGGAUGUGUAUACAUAUAUAUAUAUAUAUAUACUGUUUUUGCAGCACCAGAAAUCUUUCAGGCAGUAGAAUUUAAUAUUUUAUAUGGUAAAUAAUGUACAGUAUAUAUAUAUUUAUCCUCAUGAUUUAAAUAUCUUGGACAUAUUUUUGUAUUUCUGUAUAUUUGUUUUGAUUAAAAUUUAUUUUUCAAAAUACUGUACCUAAAUUCUCUGAAUCUAUUAAAAUCUAUAUGAUAGAAAUUAUUGAUUAAACUUUAAAAUUAAUGAAAUUGGAUCAAACGGGUUUAGCUUUUGAAUUAAAUGAAUAUCUGUAUGAUACACAAAGUGGGCAAAUCAUCAUGAAACGUAACAGAUCGUAGCAUAGCUCUGCUUCCCAUCUUCAACUACCUCCCUCUAAAAUUUUUGGAUUGAUAAAUUUAACAGUCAGAUAAUACAAUAAAAAAGUAUGACUGCCAAAAACAAACUUCUUGGGAGGGCUUUCUUUUUCUUGUAUUUGCUGCCUUGUAAGUGUUACAUGUGUAAUAUCACACCAUGCCCUUGCAAGUCAGAAUAUAACCUAAUGCAGACCAAAAACCAAAACCUGGUCCACUCACAGAGGCACAGGAAGCAGGGACACUUGAUCACCCAAAUGAAGAGAAUAGACUGCCAAAAAUGUAGGGCAAGUUGAAAUUAAAUGACUACAAGAAAAUAUUAGUAACACUGACAACAAUAAACAUGGUAGUUAGGUCAUUACCCCUGCUAGUUACACACCACCACUACCAGGUGGCAGCUCCAUUGAAAUUGAAGACCACCAAAUCAAAAUACCAGUCAUGUGCCUGGUGUGGACCCUUCCACAAGUGCUCUUCAUGUGGCCACCUUCUUUCAGGUCCCAGUUUCUCCAAAUAAGUGUUGGCCAUCGUUUGGACUUUGUCCUGCAUGGGCCUAUGUUUGUAUUUGUUAAAUUUUCAUAUCUGCUUCAUGAGUAUAUAGUUUUCAGCUUUCACAAUUCACUAGCUGCAUGUCUUAAAGGUUCACUUUCCUAAGCAUUUGCUGACAGUGCCCCUGCCUUGCCAGUAUUGCUUUCCUGGGGGGUUCGGGUGUCUGUUCUUUAGAGAUCGUCUUCCUGUUGAGGGGUCUUUCACUUUCUCUGUGUGGGUGGUCGCCAAGUGGAUUGCACUAAAAGAACAGGUUGUUGAAGUCAGUUCCAUCUACAACUUAAGAAAAUUAUGAUGAAAAUAUUAAUGUUGAGAGAGAUAAUUUGUAUGUCAGAUGUAAAGGGAGGCGAGGCAUAAAGAGCUAGUUUUCACUCCCCUUUUCGUCACCGAUAGGUAAGCACUCCUCUGUGAAAAUCGUGGGUAGGGGCAGACGGGUUUAUUAUUAUUUUGAGGUGUGCGAGGGUUAGCACUGGACCUGCAGUGCGCGCUACCUAUGCCUUCCUCAGCUGUCCCUAGCAUUUGCGAGGGCAAUCUUGCCAUGGUUGCCUUCUGGGCUUCAGGACCUCAUUUGGUAUUGGCGUCUUGACCUCAACGUGGUUUACAGAUGUCCCCUCCCCUUUCAUGGGCUUGGUUUCCUGUUUGCAGUCCCCAGACUGUUUUUUGGCUGUCUGAUUACCUUAUUCUUAGGGUUGACUUACCUUUUCCUACCCUGCCCUGCACUAGAAUAUGUUUGUUUGACUUUGCUCUCAUCCCUGGCUUCUUCCCUGUUCUACUUUGGUUUUGUUAUAUUCUGGUGUUGUUCUCCAAUCAGCAUUUUGGUGGCAUGGUUGCCUUGACUUGGUGCUGGAUUUUUGCACCCCAUUCUGUGGUUAGAGCUGUGACAGCUUUGCUCUGGUUCUUGUCCUCUUUCCCUCCUUUGGGUGGUGGUGGUUCUCUUUGGCUCAUAUGGCUUGAUGAUGAGCUGUCCUCACCCAUAUUUGGAUUUGGCUAGAUUCCUUUCCCUUGCAUCCACCUCUUCUUUUCCCCACUCCUGUUUUGUGUGGUGGCUGAAUCAGCAGUAUUUGUCUGCAGCUUCUCUGUUAUGGUAUGGUGCAGUUGGUUUUUGUCCUUGCUGCAUUGGGAGGCAGUCUUCCGGAGAUUUAGUCUCACCUUUUCCCUGGUUAUGGUAGGUGCAUCUGGUGGUGCCAGAUUUUUUGUGGUUCGUCCCUUUAUUUAACAAUGCUCUGGGGUGAAGUCUAGCCCAUUUCUCUGAUUUAUGGACUCACGAUGCUUGACCCUUCCAGGUGGUGUUUUGGAUCUGUGGUGUGGGCGGCUUUUGACCCUCCUCCCUUUUUGGUGUCAGCGGUCCUAGGCUUGUUGUCUCUCCUGCAGCUCUGUUCAAUCAUUUUGCGUUGGUUGGAUGCUGCAGUUAACACCCACUGAGGUCAAAUAGGUGUCCCAUUCUUGUCCUUAUUCUCAUGUGGGUCCUUUAUGAUCCUAAAGUUUAUUCCUAGCUUCUCAGGCUUGUUCCUUUAUUAUCUAUCUGACUUUUCAUGUGACCACCUUCCGUCUGGUCAACUUCUCUGGUUUGUUCUUUUCAACCUUAGGGUCUAUAAGGUGUGGGCUCCAUUGGCCCUUUGGCUGCUUCUAACUUGCUGAUUCCUCUUCAGGCUUUUCAGGGUAUGCUCCUCUGCACACAUCCUGUUCCAGGUUCUUUGGCUCUGGGUUGGGAUUUUGUGCUAAAUUCUCCUCUGGCUUCUCCAGGUGGCUGAUUGGUUCCUCUUCAUUGGGAGUUCAGUGAGCUCAUCACAAGGUUUGGCUGUGUGAGUACCUGUUCACACAGGUCCACACAGAGCCAGAGUCACCAAGGACUCUAUUCUUUAAAUGGGCCAUGGGAUGCUUUGAGUGAUGCAUUGUUUGUUGAUCUGGUUUCUUUAGUGCAGUGUUAGAAGGCCAGUUUGCCUCAGAUUGUAGCAGUCUUUAUUUUUAGCAGGCCUGUGGUCUACUCUCAGGCUCGUGACGUCCAUAGGUUAAUGGUUUUGUCCCGAGUCUUCUCUCAUGUCUCAGGCUCUUAUUUUGCUGGCUGCUUUUCUUCACCCCCUAGCAAGGCCUGUUCUUAUUUUGUUCUUUCUCUGUGGUUAAAUGGCAUCAGGGAGCAACCAAUGGAGCCUGUAUUGGUUGCAAUGUUGAAUGUAAAGAAAUGCCUCUUUCUGGCAAGUCCCUCGGUGGCUCUCUGUUCCUGCCCUUCCCCUUUCAGGGGCUUUGGUUGCUUUGGGAGGUGUAUGUCUGAUGUGUUGACAUUGGAGAUCCUCAAGCUCCCAGGGCUGCCACAUGGUUGCAGGUUGUGUAACUAACUAGCAGGGUUAAUGACCUAACAUUUUUUUUUUCAGUUUUAUUUUGGCUCACCAUAUCUUUCUGGUGAUCUCUUAUCUUGGUUUGGGUGGUCAAGUAUCCCUUGUUCUUUGCACCUCUCAGAGUGAGUCAGGUUUGGGCCUAAGGUCUGCUGUAGGUGAUAUUCUGACUCAUAAGGGUCUGGUGUGACAUGGUACAUAUAAAGCUUACCUUGCAGCAAGCACCAGGGGAGCUACCAAGGCCCCCAUCAGAAAGGGGCAUUGCAUUACAUUCAACAAUGGAUUUUUGUAAUAGUUUAUCAUAUGCAUUAUAUUCACAAGAAUACUUGGUUAUUUCAGUAAAUCAUAUUGUUGAAUUCUAAAGAAGAUAGCCACUUAAUAAUGCAUUAUUAUUUAGGUGUAAUGCAGAGAGUACACAAAUUACAAAAAACAAUAUACUAGGAAACUUGUUAAGGAACUAUUGUAUGGAUAAAUUUAACUACACAAAAGAAGGCAUGAAGUCAUUAAGUUUUGUUUAUCUAUGACUUGGUAGAUAAAACAUUUUAAAAUGUAAUAAUUUUUGUAUCUGUCCUUUCUAUCUGCUGUAUGUUAUGAAAUACAUGUGUGUAUCUAGAGUGUUUAAGCCACAACUGCAACACUUGCUGUGUAAUAGUGUGUGUCAAAUCACUGUACAGUACUGUUAUUGUGAAAAAUUACUGAUUUCAUGCAUUCUGGGGACUAUGUUCAUACUCAUGUUUUAAGGAAGAGGGAGGAAGCGGAGGUUAAGGGAGCUGUAUCUCCCGUAACCUACACACCUGUAAUAAAUGCUAUGGAGGGUAGAUCUUUAAGCUUAAGUUACAUAACAUUUGCCCUUAUUUUAUACCUUACUAAAUUUCCUGAGCAAAAUCAUGCACAGUAAUCUUCAUUUAUUCUGUAUGUUGUGCUAAAGGAUAGUGUUGAAACACUACACAUCAUGAUGUUCCGUAAAACAUCUUUAGGACUACAAGUAUAAAAAAAAUUCUUAUAAGCUUUUUGUUAUUUGGUAGAGUAAAUUUAUAUAAUAUUUA
rnacentral:misc_RNA from 1 species